rnacentral:rRNA from 1 species
UACGAAGGGGGCGAGCGUUGCUCGGAAUGACUGGGCGUAAAGGGCGCGUAGGCGGACCUCGAAGUCGGGCGUGAAAUCCCCGGGCUCAACCCGGGACGUGCGCUCGAGACGCGUGGUCUGGAGUGGGGGAGAGGGAAGCGGAAUUCCCAGUGUAGAGGUGAAAUUCGUAGAUAUUGGGAAGAACACCGGUGGCGAAGGCGGCUACCUGGCCCUCGACUGACGCUGAGGCGCGACAGCGUGGGGAGCAAACAGG